UAGGGAAUCUUCGGCAAUGGACGAAAGUCUGACCGAGCAACGCCGCGUGAGUGAAGAAGGUUUUCGGAUCGUAAAACUCUGUUGUUAGAGAAGAACAAGGACGUUAGUAACUGAACGUCCCCUGCCGGUAUCUAACCAGAAAGCCACGGCUAACUACGUGCCAGCAGCCGCGGUAAUACGUAGGUUGCAAGCGUUGUCCGGAUUUAUUGGGCGUAAAGCGAGCGCAGGCGGUUUCUUAAGUCUGAUGUGAAAGCCCCCGGCUCAACCGGGGAGGGUCAUUGGAAACUGGGAGAAUUGAGUGCAGAAGAGGAGAGUGGAAUUCCAUGUGUAGCGGUGAAAGGCGUAGAUAUAUGGAGGAACACCAGUGGCGAAGGCGGCUCUCUGGGCUGAAACAGAAGCUGAGGCUCGAAAGCGUGGGGAGCAAACAGG
rnacentral:rRNA from 1 species